UACGUAGGGCGCAAGCGUUAUCCGGAAUUAUUGGGCGUAAAGAGCUCGUAGGCGGUUUGUCGCGUCUGCCGUGAAAGCCCGGGGCUCAACCCCGGAGGGUCAGCCGAUACUGGCAGACUAGAGUACGGAAGAGGUAGCUGGAAUUCCGGUGUAGCGGUGAAAUGCGUAGAUAUCGGGAGGAACACCUGAGGCGAAGGCGGGCUACUGGGCCGAUACUGACGCUGAUGCGCGAAAGCCAGGGGAGCGAACGGG
rnacentral:rRNA from 1 species